CAAGACACCUGUAUCACCAGGAGGUGAAUGAGGAGGCUGCAGCAGGAGGAGGAAUUCUGCAGUGGCUCAGGUGUGGAAUAUAUCACUGGAUAUACACAGGGGACUUCCUUAAGGUGUGGAUGUGUACUUAAAUGCUUGGAAAAGCCUUCAGUAUGCCAUUUCACCCUCCUAUCUUCAUCAAACCUCCUGAAGAUGUGUUCUCCAUCUGGAGAUGAUUAACUUCACAAUUGAGCCACAAACCACGGGAUUGGGCCUUGGGGAGCGGCAGCAGCACAGGGCGCCCCCUGCAGGCCCGCCUGUUAACCACAGCCAUCGAAUACAAGGCAUGAAAUAAAAAUAAAAACGUGCCGAUUUUGGUUUUAAUAAAUCCGUUCUUUCCUUAUA